CAGGAUGAACGCUGGCGGCGUGCCUAACACAUGCAAGUCGAACGAAGCAUUGAUCCGGAUCAUUCGGUGUGAAGGAGCUUAUGACUAGUGGCGGACGGGUGAGUAACGCGUGGGCAACCUGCCUUAACCGGGGGACAACAGUUGGAAACGGCUGCUAAUACCGCAUAAGCGCACGGAACCGCAUGGUUCAGUGUGAAAAAAUUCCGGUGGUUAAGGAUGGGCCCGCGUUGGAUUAGGUAGUUGGUGCGGUAACGGCGCACCAAGCCGACGAUCCAUAGCCGACCUGAGAGGGUGACCGGCCACAUUGGGACUGAGACACGGCCCAGACUCCUGCGGGAGGCAGCAGUGGGGAAUAUUGCACAAUGGGGGAAACCCUGAUGCAAGCGACGCCGCGUGAGUGAAGAAGUAUUUCGGUAUGUAAAGCUCUUUCGGCAGGGAAGAAGAUGACGGUACCUGCAGAAGAAGCCCCGGCUAACUACGUGCCAGCAGCAGC
rnacentral:rRNA from 1 species